AGGCAGCCCCCUUUGUUCGAUUUGAUGGGAAGGGAGGUGUUAAUCUGCUCGUAAAUUAAAUUGGCUUUUGGUCUUCAGAUUUGCUGAGAUAUUAUAUCUUUGAAGCUGGUCUAGUAAAUCCUAAGCACAAU
rfam:Nicotiana attenuata strain TT chromosome 9, whole genome shotgun sequence.